rnacentral:tRNA from 1 species
GCAGGGGUAGCGAAGUGGUCAAACGCGUGGGGUUUAGGAAUUUAUGGGCUAAGUGCCUUCGCAGGUUCGAACCCUGCCCCCUGCA